rnacentral:rRNA from 1 species
AGUGAACGCUGGCGGCGUGCCUAAUACAUGCAAGUCGAACGAAGUGGCGCACGGGCGAGUAAUAUAUAGCUAAUCUGCUCCACACAGAGGAACAACAGUUGGAAACGACUGCUAAUACUUCAUAGUGUAGGAUGAGACUAUAUCGUAUCAGCUAGUUGGUAAGGUAAUGGCUUAUCCAGGCUAUGACGCGUAACUGGUCUGAGAGGAUGAUCAGUCGCAUUGGAACUGAGACACGGUCCAAGCUCCUACGAGAGGCAGCAGUAAGGAGUAUUGCGCAAUGGGGGAGACCCUUGCGGGGCAUCGCCGCGUGGAGGAUGACACUUUUCGGAGCGUAAGCUCCUUUUAUCAGGAAAGCGGUACCUGAUGAAUAAGCACCGGCUAACUCCGUGCCAGCAGCCGCGGUAAUAC